rnacentral:misc_RNA from 1 species
CUAAUACUGCGGUUGGUGAAAUCAGAAAGACAGGAACCUCUCUGGUGAAAUUGACCUAGAUUACUUUCAUCUGGCAUAACUAGUUAUUCUAUGUUUUAUAAAGUUUUCUUUUUUACUUUUUCCGAAUUAUAUUGUACGAAACGUUAUGUUUGCACUACGACAAAUAUAUUUAUUUUGUACAAAACAAAAAAAGUGUGCACCAGUAAAACACUUAAUUAAGUCAUCCAAUCACAAAAUUUAUACAUCUAAAGUUAUGUCUCAUGGUGAAUAUGAAAUGCAGGAUCCUAAAACAGAGGCCGAUGUAGUUAACGUUAUAUUUAUUGAUAAAACAGGCAAGAAAGUUAAAGUAAAAGGAAAAGUAGGAGACAAUGUAUUAUAUUUAGCUCAUAGAUAUGAGAUUGAGAUGGAAGGGGCAUGCGAGGCCAGUUUAGCGUGUACAACUUGUCAUGUGUAUGUACAUCAUGAUUAUAUGGAUAAACUUCCUAUGCCUAAUGAAACAGAAGAAGAUCUCUUGGAUUUAGCGCCAUUCUUAAAGGAAAAUUCUAGACUAGGUUGUCAAAUAAUUUUGGAGAAAGAAUUAGAUGGCAUAGAGCUGGAAUUACCUAAGGCGACUAGAAAUUUUUAUGUAGACGGGCAUACUCCCAGUUCACAUUAAAAAAAAUAUUUUUUUAUUUGAAGUUAACUGAAUUAAACAUGUAAAUACUUGUGAUUUCGUUAUGUGUUACAAAUAUUUGACAUCGCAUUACUCUAUCUGCGAAGAUGGUUUCUCAAGGCUACUUCAUUGGAAUAAUAAAUAUAUGUAUAUAUAUUACUCUAUGUCUUAACAUUCGCAUCAAGUUCAGAUCAACUUGUUCUUUUUCCUUAUCUUAUAUGUGAUUUUUUGCUUCUAAUUAAAUAGCAGAAGUUGUAACACUCGUUCGACGGAUAUUGUAUCCAAACUCAUUCCUGCAUAUUACACAUGUUACAAACGCUUAUAAUACAUUUGUAGAUAAAAGUGAUACUUUAUCUCGUUGUGAAACAAAUUAUCCGUUUAUAUUUCGCAAAUUUUUCCUCCCUUAAUUUAUAUUUUGUUGUGUAUUUAUGUUAUUAAAAGAAGUUUUAACAAAAUGUAACAAAAAAUAAAAAUUUAAAGUUUUACUUAGGAAUUUAUUUUUACCUAGAAAUACGUUAAAGCAUAAUUUUAAUACAGAUACAAGUGGAUUCAUUGUAUGAUUUAUAGCUAUUAUUCAGUCUAGUAUUGGGCAAAAUUUAAUUAAUUUGUCAAUUAACAAUUAUGAUUAAAAAUUUAGUUCUUCGUUAUUAGAUAUAAUACUUAGUAUUUUUAGUUAUAAUAAACAUUUUUUAGUUGUUUCAGAAUAAAUCUCAGCCAUUGAUUAAAUUUUUAAUCCCUAAAAUAAAUCGAUUAAUAUAAAUUGUUGUAAUUGUGAUUAAUUUUUAAUUGAUUAAUUGUAAAUAAUUAAUUUUGAGGAAAAAAAUUGUAAUUGUUAGUUGUAAUCACUGAUUUACAACAUUGAAUGAAAGCUAAAAAAAUAGUAUUGGGUUAUAUAAUAAAUAAAAUAAUUUAAUUAAAUAAUAUUGAUUUGAAUGUCCUUUCGAUAUGACAAACACAUAUUUCGAUAAUUAAAUCAAUCAUAAUUAUGGUUAUCAUUAAUUCUUAUUUAAUUGGUUUAAGCUAAGAAAAAUUUCAUCGAUUAUAUUAUAAAAUCGUUCGACAAUUUCAUUAAUCGAUUACAUUGAUUAUAAUCAUGAUUAUAUUUUAAAAUUUUAAUUAAUCAUUUUAGUUAACAAAUAAAUUAAUCGAUUAAUGUCCAAUAUUGUCCAACUUUACAAGAUGAUUAAAAUGCGGAUCUUUAUCUGAUGAUAACUAAUCGUACACUUAUUGUACAAUAGACUACAACAGGAUUAUAAUUUCAAGUGCAUUGCCAAAAUAUGCAAUGUCGGACAGAUGUACUUAAAUAUUGCCUUUGCCAAAAUUAUUUUAUAAUUGGUACACAUGCACGCACGCACGCACACACGUAUGUAUAUCUCUAAAAAUAUGCCUUAGACAUCAAAUCUUACAAAAUCAUAAAUUUUACAUCCAUUAAUUAGAAUUGAAGAGACAUUAGCAAAUGUUUUAAUUGUACAAACUUUGUGUUGUGCUUAGAUUUUAAUCGACAUUUUAUUUCUCUAAUUAUCAAAAUAUUUUAAUCUUAUAAAAACAAUAAAAAUAUUAAAUUAAAUGAAUGUAUUGAAAAAAGUUGAUUGUUUUAUAAACUUAUAAAAAGAUAUAACUUAAUAAUUUUAAUAUUUCAAUAAUCUCAAUAUUAAUUUAAAAAUGUCAUAUUUUUCUUAUGUAAAUAUGUUAUUAUUCCAAUCUUUUCAGAAUGCGAGUUUAUCGAUGUUAUUAAUAUUGCAUAAAAUUUAAUAUUGGAUAUUAGGAAAUUUUAUAAAAAUAUAAAAAAACCGAUAUACAAAGUGAGCUAUAUAAUCUGUUAAAAAUCAAUAAUCCAAUAUAUAACCACAUCCUAUAAAGAUACCUUAUUCUUCUCGAUGUAUUUCUAAUAUAUACAAUUUUUUCAAAGUGGAAGUUUUUAGAUCUUGCUUUAAAUUUUUAUUGGAUAAAGUAUAUUUUAACAGUUACAUGAUUAAAAUCAUAAAUAUAAAUGUACAUACGUGUCAUUUACAUACCGAAAAUCUGUUUUUGUUAACCAAUAAGCAAUUUUUGAUGAUAAUAAUUAUUAUAAUAUUUAAGUAUACAAUUUCCUUUAUACGUUAUUUGUUUUAACAUUCGACUUCCGCAAAUGUUUACUUUUAUAUUUAUAUCGAUUUUUAUUUAAAACAAACUAUUAAAAUUAUUUAUUUACCUUAUAUAUUAUACAAUCUUAUUUCACUUCAUAAAAACAUAAAUAACUUUUUUGUAAUUGUAAUGUUUUACUUAUUAGUUUUUAAUAUUGAAUAACAAAUCUUAAACAUAAUGUUUAAUGUCAUCAUAUUAUAAAAAUA